AUUGAACGCUGGCGGCAUGCCUAACACAUGCAAGUCGAACGGCAGCACAGCCCGCAAGGGUGGGUGGCGAGUGGCGGACGGGUGAGGAAUACAUCGGGAUCUACCCUGUUGUGGGGGAUAACCCAUUGAAAGGUGGGCUAAUACCGCAUGAGACGGAGACGUGAAAGCGGAGGACCGCAAGGCUUCGCGCGAUUGGAUGAGCCGAUGUCCGAUUAGCUAGUUGGUAGGGUAAAGGCCUACCAAGGCGACGAUCGGUAGCUGGUCUGGGAGGAUGAUCAGUCACACUGGAACUGAGACACGGUCCAGACUCCUACGGGAGGCAGCAGUGGGGAAUUUUGGACAAUGGGCGAAAGCCUGAUCCAGCAAUGCCGCGUGGGUGAAGAAGGCCUUCGGGUUGUAAAGCCCUUUCGGAUAGAAAGAAAACUCUUACUCUAACAUAGUGAGAGAAUGACGGUACUAUCAUAAGAAGCACCGGCUAACUACGUGCCAGCCGCCGCGGUAAUAC
rnacentral:rRNA from 1 species